GAAAAGCCGUAGCUUUGACUAUGUGGAACUUUGUCGGCAAAGUGAUGUCUCUGCUUUUUAAUAAGCUGUCUAGGUUUGUCAUAGCUUUCUGUCCAUGAAGCAAGCGUCUUUUAAUUUCGUGGCGGCAUUCACUGUUCACAGUGAAUCAGUAGAGGUUAAUAGUUAUAGAGAUAUAAAGCCAACUUGUUGGCCUUUUAUUGUCUUAUUGAGCUGUAUUAGCUCGUUGACUUAGUGGAGCCCUAAUUAUGUUUUUUUUUUUUUUCCUCCAAGAGGAAACAAUGGGAGAUAAUUAGAAAUUUGUAACCCCUACCCACACAUGCCUAAUAACCCUCCUGGGGAUAUGUGGGUAUAAGCCCAAAGAAAGCUGAGAAGAUGGUGCAGAUUUUCCAAAGCAUGUUAGUGGUCUGAAAUGGGAGGAAGUCUGGGUUAAAGCUGUUAGGGACAGAUUUAUUGGGGAGGUAGUAUUUGAUGGCAGCCUUAAAGAUGGAGGGUUCCAUCCACUAUCUUUCUCGUGUUGGAAGCCAGGAAGAAGUAUGCAACUAAGUAUUUUCCUAUAGUCUCAUGGAACAUUCACGUCCCCAGUCUCCUUUGGAAUCACAAUGAAAAAGAGAGCAACCCAGGAUAUUGGAAGGCUGACUAGACACUGGACUGUAUAGUUGGCAGUGUUUGUGUGGAUAGGGAGGAAGGUGUAAAUGGAUCCUCAGUUUAUCUGUUGAGUGGAGUUUCCAAACAUUCUUUUAUUGGUCAGUGGCUCCGCCAGCAGUGACCUCUAACCUCAGCCACACUAGGAGGUGGAAGUCAGGAGCCUGCCUUGCCUUUGAACUCUUCUUUGUACUCAAUUGACUGGGAGCCUUUGAGGUGGCAGAAACAUUCAGCAUCUUCUUUGCUCUCUCUCCUUGAAUGCUUGGCCAAGUUAAAAUACCAGUUUCUUUUCUAUUACUGACCCAUCUCAGCCUGCGUUUAUAUUUUUCCUAUUAUACUAAGCAUACCAAUUAUUUGUUCUCCGGAGGAGUACGUGAAGAUAUAAUGGGCUGAUCGGGAAAAAGAACAUGUCUAUUGAAGAAUAUGUGGUCCCCUCACCUGGAAGGACUGUUGUCAGGCCUGGCUGUGGUCUAGGAGAGAGCAGAAGAGACCACAGAACAGUAAGUGUGUGUGUGUCCACCAGUUCAUGCACUUUAUUCAGGGCAGAGACCCCACAGGAGGCUGCUCUUUUAUCUUACAUGUGAUUUCAGCACAUUGAACUGUUUGCUUUCCAUAGACAUGAUAGUUUCAAAGUUACAUCUUUGAAGGACAGAAAGACUGUAAGUGCGGGGCUGUGACAUGGGGCAUCUGCCAGUCAGGCAUGAACAGAGAAGAUGGAAAGGCUGUUUUAAAAAUAGAACUUGGAUGGAAUGCUCUGUAAAUAAUAAAUGCUGAAGAGGGUGUGGAGAGAAGGGAAUCCUCCUGCACUGUUGGUGGGAAUGUUAAUCGGUAUAGCCGUUAUGAGAGCAGUAUGGGGGUUCCUUAAAAAAUUAAAAAUAGAGCUGCAGUAUGACCUGGCAGUCCCACUCCUGGGCGUAUAUUUGGAGGGAAACAUGAUCCAAAAGGAUACAUGGGCCCCAGUGUUCACUGGAGCACUGUUUACAGUAGCCAAGUCAACCUAAAUGUUUUGUCGACAGAGAAGUGGAUAAAGAUGUACAUAUAUACAAUGGAAUAUUACUCAACCGUUACAAAGAAUGAAAUAAUGCCAUUUGCAGCAACAUGGAUUGACCUAGAGAUUGUCAUACUGAGUGACAUAAGCCAGAGAAGGAGAAGUAUCGUAUGACAUCCCUUAUAUGUGGAAUCUAAAGAGAAUUGGCACCAAUGAACUUAUGAAACAAAAAAGGAUCCACAGACUUGGAGGGUAAACUUAUGGUUGCCAAGAUGAGAGAUGCGGGAAAGAAUAGCUGGAGAGUUUGGGAUGGACCUGUACACUCUGCUGUAAUUAGAAUGGUUAGCCAAGGAUGGCCAGCGAGGACCUGCUGUAUCGCAGGAACUCUGCUCAGUGUUGUGUGGUGGCCUGGAUGGGAGGGGAGUUUAAGGGAGAAGGGAUGCCUGUGUAUGUAUGGCUGGGUCCCUUCGCUGUUCACCUGAAACUGUCAUAACAUUCUGUGUUAAUUGGCUAUACCCCAACACAAAAUAAAAAGUUAAAAAAAAUAGAACUCGGGACUUCUUGGCACUCCAGUGGUUGACACUUCACCUUCCAAUGCAGGCUGUGUGGGUUUGAUCCCCCGAUUGAGGAACUAAGGUCUCACAUGCCUCAUGGCCAAAAAUCCAGAACAUAAACAACAGAAGCACCAUUGUAACAAAUUCAAUAAAGACUUUAAAUAAUGGUCCACAUCAAAAAAAAAAAACCUUAGAAAAUGAAAACAGAACUCUCAGCACUCUGGAUACAUGGCAGACAGCAGAACGUGCUUCUUGAUAUCCUGGGUGUGUCCUCGUAAGAAGGUAGAAUUCCUUGGUUCAAAGAAAUAUGUACGUGUUUGUUUUGCAUAUUUUGGAUUUCUGGCAUCCAAAUGAGUCCUACCAUCACUUUGAUUGUUGAAUAUAGUUUCUGUUUUGCCGCCUUGAAGCUGUGUCUGACGGAGCAUCUUAAAAUCGUGGAAAUACAGAGAUGGCUGUCCUGAGAACGCCCUGCAGUCUUUUCAGGGAAGGUUUACAUUUCGCGUAUAUAAAUGUGUUUUUAAAAUACUGGCUUUCGCGUAAAGUAUUUUCGAAAGUUUUCUAUCUAAAAUAACUUGCUUUUAUUUUUUUAAAAGUGUUUUGUGAUCCGCCUAAAGGCGUCAGCCCUCGUAUGUCUAGAACCCCCAGGAACCUGGAUGGAUGUGUUCUCUGAGGGUCCCCUGUGCUUGGCUGUUGUGUCCGUUGACGGCUACAUAGCAGUCUGUGUCCAUUUCUCCCUCCCUGCCUGCCCCCAAACACACACAAUUUACAAAGCAAACUCGUUAAACAGAGUAGUGAGACUAGGCAGCGAGAGGAGUGAUCUGAAUUUUUUUUAACGUGAGGAAACAGAAGAAGAGCCGUGAAGCGAUGCUCCGGAGAUCACACGACAUGUGAGGGACAGACGGGAAACAUACUGUUUUGCUGCCCACAGCUUUAUUCAAAUCCUAGAGCUCUGUGGCCUGGAUUGAGGUUGAACGUCAGGAUGAGCUUCCCAGCAAUUCAGGUUAGCUGCUCAUUGGAUCGUCUCUCCUAAGAAGUGGUUGCCCGAGACCCUGGAGACUGGACACGUCUCUGGAAAUAUGAAGAGUGUGGAAAAGACUUCACUUCUGAUUUCCAAGAUUUGACAUUGUAACAUCUGUCACUCUUUCCCACUGCCCCACCCCCCCAUACUGUGAAAUUGAAAAAAACUUUAAUAUGCAUAAACUGAAUUCUCAGGGCUUUGAAAAAAAUGCCAAGUAUUCCCUUCCUCCCCCUGCUGUCUAGUCCCAACAUGCCACUCCAAGCUCUGUUUGCCGAUCUCUGCUUUCAUACUCGCCCUUAAAAAAGCUACUGGAUCACUUACCCGUCUACGAAACACGUUGACCUUGAUCCUUGGUGUUCUUCUGGUGAAACAGACAACCGUGGUUCUGAUACAAAGCCAGGCUCUUUGGCCAGUGGGAGAGCCUUGGGGAAGAGUGUGAUUAUGGGAUAUUUUAAGUUUCAUAAUUUUAUUUCAAUUUUGUUACUCUGUUGGAGUUUUCCUGAAUGUAUAAAUCCAUAUUGUGAAGGAGAUCAGUCAACUUAUGUUUAAAGCAGGAUAAAAUAAGGACUCAUUUAAUUGGAACUCUUAAGGAAGAGCAUUUUUAUGUGUUUAACUUUUUUUUUUUCAACUUUAGCAUUAAGAACCUUAUUGGAAAAAGACUUUUGCCAAGUAUCUGAUGGGAAGCCAAGAAAAGCAUUUUAAUAGAACGGUCUCAAAUUUAUAGUACACCAGGGCCUGUAAAUAAAUUUCCCUGUCUUUAAGGUUGGGGCUGAUUUGCAGUUAUUUUGUAUAGCUUCUGAGAUUUAAAUCCUCACAGUCCAGAUGGGGAGACCAUAAAGCUGCUUUCCUUGGCAACCCUGGCAUACAUUGUCCACGGCGAGCUCUGUCUGUAAAUGUUCACUUACCGUAUUGUGAUGCCAGUUUUAAUUGGUUUAGCGACUUUUCCUAGAGCAGCUCCCCCCACUCCAAAUAUUCUCAGAAUCUUGGAGAAUUAAGAGUCCUUGAUUUCAUAAUGCAGACUUGUCAUAAGUAUGUUUUAAGUACCGGCUUUUUUGCUAGAAUUGUAUAGGUAUAUUAAAGGAGAUUUUUACAAAGGGGGAGGGGAGGAACAGAUCCUGUCCUCAGGGUGCUAGGGAGAGCACUUUCAGUAACAGUGAAUGAAGAGGCCAGAAGUGCUGUCCCCUCAGUUGUACUGCGGAAUGGAUCAGGAGGUGAAAGUAGGCUUCGUGACCGGGUGGCCUCGAAUAGGGCGAGAGGAUGCUCUGAGAGGUGCUGAGCUCCGCCCAGAGGUUGGCUUCUGUGGGAAGAACUUGGUAGGUCAGGUGGAGCAGCCUACCAGCCCGAGGGGGAACUUGAAACACCAGCAAGAGAGAACUUUCUAGGGAGCUGGAAGGACGGGAAAGUCAGUGACAAGUGGAGAGUAAUGAAAAAAGGUGCGAUGAAAGGGGAAAGCAGUAUCAAUUAAGGAGACAGGGGUAAAAAAAAAAUCAAAGAGCUGGAAGGAACCUUAGAAAUUAUUCAGCCCUUUCUUCGUAUUUUGUAAAUGAGGUGGAAGCCCUAGCAUUCAAGUGAUCUUGAGGAUGAAUUGUUAGGGCCAGAGCCUCGCCUCGCCUGGAACCCAGGUCUGCUGACUCCAGCUGAUGGAUUCUGGGUGGAAGGGGGACCUUGUGUACUACAGUAUUUUUCAAUUUAGGGAGUCUUGAGCGGCAUUUUAUUUUUUAAAAAAUGAAGGAUAAUAGGAAGGCAUCAGAGUAUUACCUAGCAAGGGUAAAUCUUUCCUGAACUCUUUUCUUUGAUAUGUAUAUGUGCAGUGAGUGUCAUUAUUUAAUGUAUUUGUGUUUCUUGGUGUGGGCCCCAGUCCAGAGAGUUUGAGAGAUGUUGAUAGUGAGUGGCAAGCACAUGGGCUUUUGAGUUGAGGAGACCUGAAUUUGCAUCCCAGGCUGUGCCUUCUGUCUGCCAGCUUUGUGAGCAUGGGCAAGUCACUUUGCCAAGCGUCAAUUUUCUUAUCUCAGACCUAGGGAUAAUAGUCCGUGAUAAUGAGCCCAUGGAUUAGAAACUGCCAGGCUCCUCUGUUCAUGGAAUUCUCCAGGCAAUAAUACUGGAGUAGGUUGCCAUUCCCUUCUGGGGAUCUUCCUGACCCAGGGAUCGAUCCCAGGUCUCCUGCACUGCAAGCAGAUUCUUUACCAUCUGAGCUACAGGAACGCCCCCAAUAAUACAAUAGAGCAGUUGUGUUGUUUAAAUGAAAUCCUUGACUUAAAGCAUCUAGAGGCCUGUCUGCCUGCUCUGUGUUGGCUGUCAUCUGGGAGUGCUCCGCCUGGGUCUAGGUUUGAACACUGGCAGGAGCCCCCUGGUUUGGAGCUUGGGCUUCAGGAACCACAGUAAGUUACCAACGCGGAUGUAUUAUGCAUUUGCUUCUGGGCUUGGAAACUUGAAACAGAACUUAUUCCUGUGGGUCUGGUGUGCUUUCUACAUCUUGGAAUAGAGGGAGGUUCCCCUCUCUGGUUUUCAGAAUGGCUUAUGAAAAUCGGUGGUUCUUUAGCUGGCCUUAAAAAAAAUUCAUUGGCACGUUUGGGUGCCAGAAUUCAUAAAGCAACGUUUGGGUCAAGUACUGUUACUUUUUCCCCUUUCCAGUGAGAACGAUCUUCAUAUUGAGUCUUUUUCCCCCCUCUUUUAAUGUAUCCUCUGCUGGAUCUUGAUUUUACUCAGUUUUUUUGAGCCAGAAGAUUAAAAAAUAAGCAUAAAGAGAAAAGUCAAAAUCAGAAUUGACAUUUGGGUGGUGAACACUUGGAGAACUGGCGUUUUACUAGGUAUGUACUAAAAAUAAAGCAACUUUUUAUGUGAAUUUAAGAGGACUGGUGAGAUACCUCUUAGGAAUAGCUGUUGUUUGCCUCCUACUGAAAGGGUAAUGAGUUGUAUCAUCUGGUUUUCCUGGUUCUCUGCUGUUGCCCUCACCCCUGCUGCCCUUCCCCCACCCCUGUCCAGCCAGCUCCAUCCCAUAUUUGAAAUCCCGCUGGAGAGCGAGUUGAGCGCUUCAUCCCUAGAUGAUUUGGGCCAGGGGCUAAAACACUGCCAUAAAUCUGCAGCUCAUUUUAAUGCCACGUUAAAACAGUGUGAGCGGCUGGUUUCCGUGGCCCCUGCCCUCUUUCUUUAUGGGCUUCUUUGGCUCUUCUUUAUAAAGAGGCCCUGUGGAGUCAUUUUAAAGUUCUUAUCAGUUUGCUGACAGCUAUAUGGGCCUUUCUGCCGAGUCCAGGAGCUCAGGCAGGCGUGUGAAACUUCUGAUAUUAAAAUUGAAGAAAAAUGCCAGGCAGAAGGGAUUGGGGAGCACAGCGGUGAUUUGGAGGUGAAAGACUAGCGAGGCCGUCUGACUGGCUAGACCUCGGCUUGCAAGUCUCUGGCAGCUCCAGCUCACUGUCUCUGUGUGCACAGCAUCGCUGUUAUCGAAUUUAAAGGGACUUUCAUCAGCCUGCUCCGCUGCCCCUUUUAGACCAGCUUGCUAACUCCCAGUAAUCCUCGCAGAGUGCUUCGUGGAAGCGCCAGGCCCUCUAUAAAUGUCAGCCUGCAGAGCUUGGCCCUUUUUACCCUCUCAGUUACGGAAAGGUGGACUGGAAGCUGCUCCUCCCUCUCCUCCACCACUUUUCCUUUCUCUCUUUGCUGAAAAACUCUAGCAGCAGACAGCUGAGGGGAAGGAAAAACCAUUACCUGGAUCAAGGCCAGGGGCUUGAUGGAGCCUCAAAAUCUCUGGCAUCUCCUGACCAGAGUGUUUUUCCAGGCAUUUCAAAAAGUACACCCUCACCCUCCGCCAGCUUUCAGCUUUCCAGCCUUGAUUCCAGGUGGGCUGGCUUGGGGGCAUCAUGCCCUCAGAAUCUGUAUCUGUCUGCUCCUCUUCUCCUAACAAAAGCAUUUAGGAAGAGGAUAGUAGAGAUAAGCAAAAUCCGGUGGACAUAUAUUUUUAACUGCCUUGCACCCUUUUGGCGCAAACACGUUAUUUUUCCUUUUUCAAAUAGUUUUGGACAUGAGUACUUUUGCAAGUGUAUUCAAUUUAAAAUAGUCAUUUAACUUGAGGUUGAAGCAAAAGCAAAGAAUUUUUAUAGUUAGUCAAAUUAUAUAGCUGUUGAUCUAGGAUCAAUGAUUUUCAUUGAGCAAACAAUAAAAAAUACCAGUUCGUUUUACUACUUGUGUGGAAGUAGCUCCUGUGGGGAGAGUAAUUAGGUAUGAAAACUGACUAAGCUAUAAAUCAAAAUAAAAUACCCCAACCUCCAAAGCAAUCAAGCUACUUUUUUGAACAUUUCUGACAAUAUCAAUAGGUAUUUUGGUAUUCUGAACAAUUAUCAGUAGAAUAAAUUGAUAUUCUAUAAUUAGUUAGGUUGUUAAGUUUACUGAAUCAGAAGUUUUUGCUUGUGGUAUAAUUUUAAUAAAUUUACUAAAAAUAUUUUACAAAUAAUGUACUGAAAGUUCUCAGUAAGUGUAUGAUUAUGAGCAGUCUUCAUUAUACAGCCUUUGCAAGGGGUGUGGUUAUAUCAUAUGACCAGUUUCCUCUUUGGGCAUUGGUUGCAGAGCUGGCUCUAGAGUUAGCCAUGGGUUAAUCCCUUGUAACAAGUCCCCAAUAUGGGGCAUUGCUUUAGGAAAUGGCCUCUCUAAUAAAAGUGUUAAACAUUAAUUUGCAGCCUAUAUAAGGAUUGUCUGACUCUUUGGGGCUGGUUUCCUACAGAGUGGAACUAUUUGUGAAGCAUUUCUGAGAAAUAAUUGCUCAUUACAGGAAGUGGAGUGCAGGCUUUGUGAAUUCGUUGUAUAUCUACUUAGAAAAAUAUCUAGGUUUGUUUACAAAAGAAUAACUUGUAAAUUACCAAGUGUCGAUACAAGCGUUUGGUAAAGAAUUCACUAUUGUCAGGUCUUCAGUAAGGGUCAGACUGAUCCAUUAGAUUUCUGUCUAUAUUUAUGAUUAUUUUAUAUUUGAAUGUAUUUUUCUGUCUCCCUCAGCAUUGAAGAGGCUGAGAGAGUUUGGAGUUGCCUGACUACUUUGUAAUAACACCAUCUUGUAAUUCCAUGCUACUGUUCUUGGGAAUGUAAGACAACAAUUGUGUAUUUAUUUCAUUUUGUUUGACUAGAUGACCUUUAAUACUGAAUCAGACCAGAAUUGGUACAGAAAUAGCUUCAUAUAAGUCAUUUCUGGCAAUGUAGUUCUCUCUUUCUCCUUAUAGUUUACAGGUUAAUUUGUAUUUAAACAUGCACUUAUUUCCCAUUUUGAUAAGACUUCAGUAGUAAGUAAGCAGGUCAUUUGUUAUCUUUCAGAGUUCAGUACUUUUUAUUAAAAGGAGCAAGUGGUUUGUCUUCAAGUGUUUGAAGCCCAUAUAUGUAUAUAUAUAUUUGAAGUGUUCUGAAUUCUCAGGUUAAUUUGGCCAGGUCUUGAUGAUCUUUAUAUAUGUAUAAUUUGUAUUUUAGAGAGAUCUUUGAGUUUUUGUUUGAAGCUACAGACUGAGGGUUGAAUUCUCUCAACUCUCUCGCUCUCACUCAGAUUCUUAGAUGCUUUCUGGAGUGGGGAAUGGGGACGUAAAUUUCUCUUGAGAGCCCUUGCCAUGAUGAACCUCAGCUGUGCUUACUCAUAGGUAAGAAAGGGCACGGGGUAAAGAUGAGACCCACUCACAGAGCAAGCGUAGCUCUUCCAAACUUCUCCCU